rnacentral:rRNA from 1 species
GACGAACGCUGGCGGCGUGCUUAACACAUGCAAGUCGAACGAGUGGCGAACGGGUGAGUAACACGUGGGUGAUCUGCCUUGCACUUCGGGAUAAGCUUGGGAAACUGGGUCUAAUACCGGAUAGUGCAAGAUGAGCUCGCGGCCUAUCAGCUUGUUGGUGGGGUAAUGGCUACCAAGGCGCGACGGGUAGCCGGCCUGAGAGGGUGUACGGCCACAUUGGGACUGAGAUACGGCCCAGACUCCUACGGGAGGCAGCAGUGGGGAAUAUUGCACAAUGGGCGGAAGCCUGAUGCAGCGACGCCGCGUGAGUGAAGAAGGUGUUCGGAUCGUAAAGCUCUGUUGUUAAGGAAGACGUACUUAACCAGAAAGGGACGGCUAACUACGUGCCAGCAGCCGCGGUAAUUC